rnacentral:lncRNA from 1 species
AAAUAUUCUAAUAUUCAUUCAUUGAAUGUACUAUAAGUAUUUUAAGAAUCCUAAGUGAGCAACAAAUUCUUAGAACUAAUAUAAGAAUUGAGCCAAGUAUCUGAAUGUAAGACAAGUGUGAACAUUGAACAAUUAAACUGCUAAUAAUUUCAAGAAUGUAGUUUUUAAAAUAUUAAUCGAUUCUCAAUUUGUAAGAUAGAUGUUCUGUUUGUUUAUUUGUUCGCAUGAGUUUCGCUCGGCUGGGUACAGAAUCCAGAACUUCUCAUAUACAAGGCAAGUUCCACCUCUGAGUUAAGCUCCAGGCUGGACUGUGGCGGUUUAGUAUCAUCUCAAUGAGAUCUGAGAGUGUGUCAGAAGUGGUUAAUGUGAAUCAAGUGUGCACAAGGAGAAACAUAAUGGUCACUUAAAACCAGACAGCAGCGUGGCUGGCCUCAGUUCCAGGUCCUGGUACCACUGGUGCUCAACAAACAUCACAUCCAGAGACUCUGUGAAUGGGCAAAGGAACAGCUGGAAUUCACUAUGCUUCUUUCCCAUGUUUCCUUCUUCCAUCCAAAGAGGAACAUCUGUACAGAAGAACUAGUUUACAGCCUCCAUGUAGUACACCUUUCAAACUAUUAACAGCAUUUCAGCAGAGAACACUCUAUCCCUGAGCAGUGCAGUAAGGGGCUAAUGAUAUAUCAAUAAAACUCUGGCGCAGCCUUCUGCUUAUUGAGGCAAGUGCUGGAGUUCCUCAAAGACUGCCAGACUCAGCUGCAUCAUAUGCUGAGUUUCUUCUUUUGGAAAAUGUUUCCAUUUUCUCUCAGGUACUAUGUACCUGUACUGAGUCUGUCUGUUCCUGAUCUCCCUUUUUAUUCUAGCACUUACAUUUUCAUAACGACUCACAUUCUUUUCUAUUCUGUUCCACUUUUGUUUUUUUUGUUUUUUUUUUU